rnacentral:rRNA from 1 species
GGAUCCAGACUUUGAUUAUGGCUCAGGAUGAACGCUAGCUACAGGCUUAACACAUGCAAGUCGAGGGGCAGCAUGACGAUAGCUUGCUAUUGUUGAUGGCGACCGGCGCACGGGUGAGUAACGCGUAUCCAACCUGCCCUUGUCCACCGGAUAACCCGUCGAAAGGCGGACUAACACGGUAUGCAGUCCACAGCAGACAUCUAACGUGGACGAAAUGUGAAGGAGAAGGAUGGGGAUGCGUCUGAUUAGCUUGUUGGCGGGGUAACGGCCCACCAAGGCGACGAUCAGUAGGGGUUCUGAGAGGAAGGUCCCCCACAUUGGAACUGAGACACGGUCCAAACUCCUACGGGAGGCAGCAGUGAGGAAUAUUGGUCAAUGGGCGAGAGCCUGAACCAGCCAAGUAGCGUGCAGGAUGACGGCCCUAUGGGUUGUAAACUGCUUUUAUACGGGGAUAAAGUGGGCCACGUGUGGCUUAUUGCAGGUACCGUAUGAAUAAGGACCGGCUAAUUCCGUGCCAGCAGCCGCGGUAAUACGGAAGGUCCGGGCGUUAUCCGGAUUUAUUGGGUUUAAAGGGAGCGUAGGCCGUCUGUUAAGCGUGUUGUGAAAUGUCGGGGCUCAACCUGGGCAUUGCAGCGCGAACUGGCAGACUUGAGUGCGCAGGAAGUAGGCGGAAUUCGUCGUGUAGCGGUGAAAUGCUUAGAUAUGACGAAGAACUCCGAUUGCGAAGGCAGCCUGCUGUAGCGUAACUGACGCUGAAGCUCGAAAGCGUGGGUAUCGAACAGGAUUAGAUACCCUGGUAGUCCACGCGGUAAACGAUGGAUGCUCGCUGUUUGCGUCUGACGUAAGCGGCCAAGCGAAAGCGUUAAGCAUCCCACCUGGGGAGUACGCCGGCAACGGUGCAACUCAAAGGAAUUGACGG